rnacentral:rRNA from 1 species
CCUACGGGAGGCAGCAGUGAGGAAUAUUGGUCAAUGGACGAGAGUCUGAACCAGCCAAGUAGCGUGAAGGAUGACUGCCCUAUGGGUUGUAAACUUCUUUUAUAUGGGAAUAAAAUGUUCCACGUGUGGGAUUUUGUAUGUACCAUACGAAUAAGGAUCGGCUAACUCCGUGCCAGCCGCCGCGGUAAUACGGAGGAUCCGAGCGUUAUCCGGAUUUAUUGGGUUUAAAGGGAGCGUAGGUGGAUUGUUAAGUCAGUUGUGAAAGUUUGCGGCUCAACCGUAAAAUUGCAGUUGAUACUGGCAGUCUUGAGUACAAUAGAGGUUGGCGGAAUUCGUUGUGUAGCGGUGAAAUGCUUAGAUAUCACGAAGAACUCCGAUUGCGAAGGCAGCUCACUGGACUGCAACUGACACUGAGGCUCGAAAGUGUGGGUAUCAAACAGGAUUAGAUACCCGGGUAGUC